rnacentral:rRNA from 1 species
CGUGGUUUUAUACAUGCAGUCGAGCGAGGACGGUAGCGAAUACCGAGCCGAGCGGCGAACGGGUGAGUAACGCGUAAGCAAUCUGCCCUGCAAUAGGGGAUAACCAUUCCAACGGAUGGCUAAUACCGUAUAUCGUGGCUCCUCGCCUGAGGGGUUGACGAAAGAUUUAUCGUUGCAGGAUGAGCUUGCGUCCGAUUAGCUAGUUGGCGGGGUAACGGCCCCACCAAGGCGACGAUCGGUAUCCGGCCUGAGAGGGUGAUCGGAUACAUUGGGACUGAGAUACGGCCCAGACUCCUACGGGAGGCAGCAGUAGGGAAUAUUGCGCAAUGGGGGCAACCCCUGACGCAGCAACGCCACGUGUGGGAAGAAGCAUUUCGGUGUGUAAACCACUGUCGAGAGGGAAAAACCGGCGGCUUCGGCCGCCCUGAUGGUACCUCUAAAGGAAGCACCGGCAAACUUCGUGCCAGCAGCCGCGGUAAUACGAGGGGUGCAAGCGUUGUUCGGAAUCACUGGGCGUAAAGGGAGC